AUUCCAGCUCCAAUAGCGUGUAUUUAAGUUGUUGCGGUUAAAAAGCUCGUAGUUGGGUUUCGGGCGUGGAGGUUCGGUCCGCCGUUUCGGUGUGCACUGUCUUUCUGCGUCUUUCUGUCGGGGACGCGCUUCUGGCCUUAAUUGGCUGGGACGUGGAUUCGACGAGGUUACUUUGAAAAAAUUAGAGUGUUCAAAGCAAGCUAAAGCUCUGAAUACAUUAGCAUGGAAUAACGCGAGAGGACUCGGUCCUUAUUUUGUUGGUCUUCAAGGAUGGAGUAAUGAUUAAGAGGGACAGUUGGGGGCAUUCGUAUUUCAUUGCUAGAGGUGAAAUUCUUGGAUUUAUGAAAGACGAACUUCUGCGAAAGCAUUUGCCAAGGAUGUUUUCAUCA
rnacentral:rRNA from 1 species